rnacentral:lncRNA from 1 species
CUUUGUCCUAUUACAGUUUCAUUUGACCAAGAACUAGUUAUGGCAGCACAUAAAAACAAAAAAAAACUAUACAAUUAAAGGAAUAAGUUAACUUGGAACUUGACAUUCUGUUUCAUGUCAGCAAUUUAUUUCCAUCCUAAAAUGUCAAAAAACCACAAAAUUAACAUCUAUCUAUGUUCUAUUACAAUUUUAUUUUAUCAAAUAUUAGUUAUGGCAGCAUAUAAGAACAAAAAAACUAUAAAAAUUUAAAGGAAUAAGUAAACAUGGAACUUA